rnacentral:lncRNA from 1 species
GUCUUGGUCUGCAUGAUUGAAACUGGAUCAUGGAUGCAUCCAUAUUUCAUGUCACAGGAAGGAAAAGAGAGAUCAUGGAGACGUACAUGCCCAACAUGUGAGGACCCAGACCACGAAAUGCCAAAUGUCUCAUUUAGUCACAUUCCAGUGGCAAAUAUUUAGUGAUAGAGCUGCCACUAGCUACAGAGGAGGAUGGGAAAUGCAGUGUCUGACUGGGCAGCCAUAUGCUAGCGUCAAUUCCAUCAUCAUGGUACAAGACAUUUCAACAUGUAUUUCUUCAGCCAGAAAUCAUUAUUCUAGUUGCUCUUCCCGGAUUCAAAGAAGUACAGAAACUGGGAAAAAUGAGCUUUUAAGUAGGUGGUGGGAGAAAACCACACCGAUAAAAAUUAUAAACAAUACUGCACGGGCCCUUCAUGUGCGGACUCUCUGCAGACCCAGUGAGGCAUGUUUACCAGAAGAAGAAAGAUGGAGUCGGCUGGCGCCUCUUAAAUGUGCAUACUCAGGAGUUUGGGACACACAUGUGCUUUUGUGUGUGUUUUCUCAAAGGACAUUUGCAGACACCAAUCUUUUUCUAAUCUUGCUUGUGUUUUCAAAUUGAGGCAGGUAUGGGAUUUCUGUAGAGGACACAGAUAUGUAAAGGGCCAUUAGGAAGUUAUCUGAUAUUGAAUUAGAAAAAAAUGCAAUUAAAAUCCCACUACCCUUUUCAUGGUUUGUUUUCUUUAUUUGAAGCAGUCAGGAAUUAAAAACAACUGAAUUUUUUUUUUUUGUAAACCUUUCAAGAACUUCACUUUUGGACUAAGCCCAAACCUACAGUUACUAAGCCAAAAAUGGACUAUUUUCACAAAGAGUUGAGUGAUGGAAAGCAGAAGCUGUCAUGGAAAGUGUUAUGUGAAUACUCUCAUUAAAAAAAAAAAAAAGACUGUGAAUUGGAAGUAGGCAUUUCUUUACCUAUAAAAACUCUGGCAAAUUAUUUCCCUUUGGAGGAUGAUCAUUUGAGCUAAUUUGCCUACAUUCCAAAUAUUAUGGGUCUUAUGACAGUAUGCAAUUUUUUUAUUUUUUUGACGAGCUUCCCUCCUGGUCUGUGGACAGACUCUGGACAUGUCUCAACCUAAAGUUAAGGCUGUUCAAACUCUUUAAGUGAAGCGACUGUCUCAUGAUUUGACUGACAGGAUUUUGUACUGUGUGAUUCAAUUACUAAUGCAAAUUAAUGAAUGUAGUUUACCCACUUCCUUUAACUCUCACUGAAAUAUUGUAGUAAGGUAUAUAUUCUAAGAUUUACUAUUCACAAAUGAUUUCAACAACUGUUGAAAACUAUGAAGCAGUGGUUCUCCAAGUGUGGUCCCCCAACCAGCAGCUUUAGCAUCAUCUGAGAACUUGUUAGAAACACAGAACAUCACUCUCCAGCCCAGGUUUAUCAAAUCAUAAGCUCUUGGGGGUGGAGCCCACACUUUGUGAUUUAACAAGUUGUCCAGGUGACUUGGAUGUGCUAAACAUGAAAGCAAAUGCUGUAGUACAUAAGAGUUGGAAGUAUAAUGAGAAUAAAUGUAGAAACUUUUUAUUUUAAUUUGUAAAA